rfam:Microlunatus soli strain DSM 21800 genome assembly, chromosome: I
CGGCGGAAUCAAUCGUCUAGGGUGAGGAGCACUCGCCAGUAACAGGAACCCGGUGUGAUUCCGGGACGGUCCCGCCACUGUGAUCACGCCCACCGGUGUGAGAGUCAGGAACUGCCUGGUGAGUUCUGUCCCAU